CUGGGUUUAGAACGUCGUGAGACAGUUCGGUCCCUAUCUGCCGUGGGCGUUGGAAGAUUGAAGGGGGCUGCUCCUAGUACGAGAGGACCGGAGUGGACGAACCUCUGGUGUUCGGGUUGUGUCGCCAGACGCAUUGCCCGGUAGCUAAGUUCGGAAUCGAUAACCGCUGAAAGCAUCUAAGCGGGAAGCGAGCCCUGAGAUGAGUCUUCCCUGAUACUUUAAGUAUCCUAAAG
rnacentral:rRNA from 1 species